rnacentral:lncRNA from 1 species
GGCUCGGUCCUUCGUGCCGUCCUCCCCGCUGGGAGGGGCAGCUCCAGCUCCGCUCGGCUCGCUCCGCCCGGCCACACCGGCUUUUUCCCCAUCAGGCGGUCCGAGUGCGGCUCCUCGCGAGCCUGCAAAGGAGCAGCAGGCGGUUCCUUUUCGGACGACCUGGAGCGAGGCCUGCGGGACUGCGCGCCCCGGCGGGCGGCGUGCGGCUCCCGGCAUGCGCGGCGGCUGCGUUCCCGCCGCCUCCGAGCUCGCCUGGGGCUGCCGCCCGCCUCCUGCCGGGCCCUCGGGCUCGCCCGGCACCGCGGGGCUUGAUCAGGGAGAUAUUUUAGUACAACAUCUUUUCAUCACAGAAAUGAUAUCUUCAGGGAAAAGACUUCGAAAAAGUGCCUGAAGUGACACAACACAUGUUUUCUUCUGGUAUCUGGCUAAGGCCUUCUCUUCUAAGCAGCAUAAACUACUGCUGCCUACAUGUUGCCUGUUCAUAAAGGCUGAGGCAGGGGAGUCGCUUGAACUCGGGAGGCGGAGGUUGCAGUGAGCCGAGAUCAUGCCAUUUCCCUCCGGAAAUGAUCAGAGGCUCACCUGAACUAUUAUCCAUCCAAAAGUGGGAUUCAAAGAAGGAAGAGGGCCUAGAAAUGAGAAAGAAGCGAAAAAUAUGUUUGUUGAAAGGUCAACAUGGGUGUUUGGAAGAGGUAAUGCUAAUGAGGUAUUCGUAAAAUUGGAGCACAAAUACUGGAUCCUGGGAUGAAUUUGGACUAAGCACCUGCAGAUUUCCUUUUCAAUUGAAAUGAGAAUUUCUGUCUGUGUUCUUCAUGCUUGUUAUACUGGAAAAAGUUUGCUUACG